rnacentral:rRNA from 1 species
GACGAACGCUGGCGGCGUGCCUAAUACAUGCAAGUUGAGCGCUGAAGGUUGGUACUUGUACCAACUGGAUGAGCAGCGAACGGGUGAGUAACGCGUGGGGAAUCUGCCUUUGAGCGGGGGACAACAUUUGGAAACGAAUGCUAAUACCGCAUAAAAACUUUAAACACAAGUUUUAAGUUUGAAAGAUGCAAUUGCAUCACUCAAAGAUGAUCCCGCGUUGUAUUAGCUAGUUGGUGAGGUAAAGGCUCACCAAGGCGAUGAUACAUAGCCGACCUGAGAGGGUGAUCGGCCACAUUGGGACUGAGACACGGCCCAAACUCCUACGGGAGGCAGCAGUAGGGAAUCUUCGGCAAUGGACGAAAGUCUGACCGAGCAACGCCGCGUGAGUGAAGAAGGUUUUCGGAUCGUAAAAACUCUGUUGGUAGAGAAAGAAACGUUG